GAUGAACGCUAGCGGCAGGCUUAAUACAUGCAAGUCGAGGGGCAGCAGGACUGUAGCAAUACAGUUGCUGGCGACCGGCAAACGGGUGCGGAACACGUACGCAACUUACCCUUGUCUGGGGCAUAGCCCACCGAAAGGUGGAUUAACUCCCCAUAAGAUAGUAGAGUGGCAUCACUUCGUUAUUAAAACUUUGGUGGACAGGGAUGGGCGUGCGGCUGAUUAGGUAGUUGGUGAGGUAACGGCUCACCAAGCCUGCGAUCAGUAACUGGUGUGAGAGCACGACCAGUCACACGGGCACUGAGACACGGGCCCGACUCCUACGGGAGGCAGCAGUAAGGAAUAUUGGUCAAUGGAGGCAACUCUGAACCAGCCAUGCCGCGUGGAGGAUGAAGGCCCUCUGGGUUGUAAACUUCUUUUACAGGGGACGAAACACUUCUAUUCUUAGGAGCUUGACGGUACCCUGGGAAUAAGCACCGGCUAACUCCGUGCCAGCCGCCGCCGUAAGAC
rnacentral:rRNA from 1 species